rnacentral:misc_RNA from 1 species
UUGACUGGUUUCUUGCUUGCCGCAAGGGGGGGACUCGGAGAGGCUCAGGCGCGCUGCUGGUUUCGGCCGGGGUACCGCCGGCGGGUCCCGGGUGGCUCCGCCCUGGAGCCGCCCGCCGAGGCACGUUGCUUGGUAGGUUCGCGAUGGUUGGGAGCGGUCUGGCUCGGCAAUGAUCCCUCCGCUGGUUCACCAACGGAGA